AUUGAACGCUGGCGGCAGGCCUAACACAUGCAAGUCGAACGAGUGGCGGACGGGUGAGUAAUGUCUGGGAAACUGCCUGAUGGAGGGGGAUAACUACUGGAAACGGUAGCUAAUACCGCAUACCAUCAGAUGUGCCCAGAUGGGGUUAGCUAGUUGGGGGGGUAACGGCUCACCAAGGCGACGAUCCCUAGCUGGUCUGAGCGGAUGACCAGCCACACUGGAGCUGAGACACUGUCCAGACUCCUACGGGAGGCAGCAGUGGGGAAUAGUGCACAAGGGGCGAAAGUCUGAUGCAGCGAGGCCGAGUGGAGGAAGAAGGCCGUCGGGUUGUAAAGUACUUUCAGCGGGGAGGCGUUACCCGCAGAAGAAGCACCGGCUAACUCCGUGCCAGCAGCCGCGGUAAUUC
rnacentral:rRNA from 1 species